rnacentral:rRNA from 1 species
CCUACGGGAGGCAGCAGUGGGGAAUAUUGGACAAUGGGCGAAAGCCUGAUCCAGCAAUGCCGCGUGAGUGAUGAAGGCCUUAGGGUUGUAAAGCUCUUUUACCAGGGAUGAUAAUGACAGUACCUGAGAAUAGCCCA